GUUCCAUUCCGAACCCAGAAGCUAAGACUCUUUGCGCCGAUGGUACUGCACUUUUGUGGGUGUGGGAGAGUAGGUCGUCGCCGCUU
rnacentral:rRNA from 1 species